UACGGAGGGUGCAAGCGUUAAUCGGAAUUACUGGGCGUAAAGCGUGCGCAGGCGGUUUGUUAAGUCUGUUGUGAAAUCCCCGAGCUCAACUUGGGAAUUGCAAUGGAUACUAGCAGGCUGGAGUAUGGUAGAGGAAGGUGGAAUUCCCGGUGUAGCAGUGAAAUGCGUAGAGAUCGGGAGGAACACCAGUGGCGAAGGCGGCCGUCUGGACCAAUACUGACGCUCAUGCACGAAAGCGUGGGGAGCAAACAGG
rnacentral:rRNA from 1 species